AAGUUGUUCUUCUUCACUUUACUUCUUUUUCUGUCUUCUCCUAGCCAGCAUGAGCCAGUAACUAAACGUAGUCAGGAUUUCCUGCAACUCUCUCAUGACGAAGGCAAUUUGUCUUAAAUUCUUCAUUCCUGAGAUAUGGAAGCUCAAACAUCGCUUACCGCGACAGUUUACACGAGGUCCUGUUGUCCAGAAAGAGCAGUCAGAGUCUUUUAAACUUAAGAU